rnacentral:lncRNA from 1 species
CCUGGAAGCUGGCCCGGAGCAAUCGAGGACCAAUUCCCAGGUGGCACUUUGUGGCGGACGCCCAGGCUGCGCUCCUCCCCCUUGCUGGACAGGAACCAGAGAUUACAACUGCCCUGAGCCGUCUUUCAGGAGUUCCAGAUUACUGCAGCAGCCUCCAUCCACCCCACACCUUGAAAUGAAGUCACAAAUUUGUAUGCAAUAGCAAUACUGUUAGAAAUAGAGGCUCCCAGCCUGAAUUAAAUGAAUAAGCACAUGGGAAUACAGAAAAACAAAAGUACGAAGGCAUUGUGGAAGUGUGAGUAUCGACUGAGCCCCCAGAGGAUCGGCUGCAUGCUGCAAAGACAUUCCAGACCAAAGAAAUGGAACAAGUUAGUGUCCAAAUUGGACUGACAGCAUGACUCACUGGGUAACAGUACCCUACUGCCAAGCUUGAUGACCUUCAAACACUGGAAUUUACAUAAUGGAAGGAGUAAACCAACUCUUACAAGUUGUCUGACCUCCAAGGAGUGCUGUGGAGCACGUAUACACAUGCACAUAAGCACACACCACAUUAAAUAACUGAGCAAAUAAAUAUAAUAAAAUAAUGUCCAAGUUCUUGGUGGGAAGCACAAUGGUUUCCUUAGCUUCUUGGGGGAAAAUUAUGUGAGACGUGAUUUUUCUCCAAAUACUCAGUGUCCUUCAAGGUCUGGUCAUCAUGGAAUUUGCCAUCAGGGAC